UACGUAGGGCGCAAGCGUUGUCCGGAAUUAUUGGGCGUAAAGAGCUCGUAGGCGGCUUGUCACGUCGGAUGUGAAAGCCCGGGGCUUAACCCCGGGUCUGCAUUCGAUACGGGCAGGCUAGAGUGUGGUAGGGGAGAUCGGAAUUCCUGGUGUAGCGGUGAAAUGCGCAGAUAUCAGGAGGAACACCGGUGGCGAAGGCGGAUCUCUGGGCCAUUACUGACGCUGAGACGCGAAAGCGUGGGGAGCAAACAGG
rnacentral:rRNA from 1 species